UACGGAGGGGGCAAGCGUUAUUCGGAAUUAUUGGGCGUAAAGCGCACGUAGGCGGCCUUGUAAGUCGGAUGUGAAAUCCCUCGGCUUAACCGAGGACGUGCAUCCGAAACUGUGAGGCUCGAGUAUGGAAGAGGGUCGCAGAAUUCCCGGUGUAGAGGUGAAAUUCGUAGAUAUCGGGAGGAAUACCAGUGGCGAAGGCGGCGACCUGGGACGAUACUGACGCUGAGGUGCGAAAGCGUGGGGAGCAAACAGG
rnacentral:rRNA from 1 species